UACGGAGGGUGCAAGCGUUAUCCGGAUUCACUGGGUUUAAAGGGUGCGUAGGAGGGCAGGUAAGUCAGUGGUGAAAUCCCCGAGCUUAACUUGGGAACUGCCGUUGAUACUAUCUGUCUUGAAUAUUGUGGAGGUGAGCGGAAUAUGUCAUGUAGCGGUGAAAUGCUUAGAUAUGACAUAGAACACUAAUUGCGAAGGCAGCUCGCUACACAUAUAUUGACUCUGAGGCACGAAAGCGUGGGGAUCAAACAGG
rnacentral:rRNA from 1 species